GUCUGCACAGACUUUGUUGCAAAUUAUUUUUAACAUUAUGUUUUUUUUUUUUCUUGUGUUACGUAUUUACAUUCAUAGAAGCAGACAUGCUGAAAUCUUUGAAGUUGCUUUGUAUGUUCAGUAUCUGAAAUAUAAAUGAUACUCUGAGAUCCUAGAUCAAUGCAAUUCACAAUCUAGAGACUUUUAAUAUGGAGGAUGAUAGAACUGCUGUAAAUACUCAUGAUUUACUUUUGUAUUUUGUGAGUAGCAGUGUUAGGGUAGACUGAGUCAGAACUUGUCAUGCAAGAAGCUUGUGCCCUCUGGAGAAUAUUAGACUUGACUGGGGGUAACCUGAGCGUUGCAACACCUGCUGUGGAGAGGAGUAAUGGAACCAAACAAGACAACAUGUUGCAGGAAUAAGAGUAUGGAAUCGGAUACAGCAGAACUAAUGUGCUGGGAAGAUAGGAUUGGUUUGGACAUUCAGAAGUAGACAGGAGUGUGGAUAAGCAUCUGCAGGAUAACAUUGUACUUCCUCUGUACUUCGUGGAGGGCUGACAACAUGAAGUAUGAUAUGACAUGGAAGUGCAAGGGGGUAGAUUUUAACAAUUAAAAGGUAGUUAGAUCAAAACUACAAGCUGAAUGAAACAAUUUCAUGACUAAGCAUCAUUUUUGUAAUUGCCUGCUAUCUGAGUAUCUUUUUUUACAUUUUUGACAAUUGCUAAAAAUAAUUUCUGCCACUCCUGCAAAUUCACCCAUAGUAAUAGAGAGAAUAUAAGUAGAUAUACUGAUGCAAUAUCCAAGUAUUGUUUUGCUGUCUUUGGGAUGGUAACAAAAGCCAUCCCAAGCAACAGAGAUUCAGCACAAUUCAGUAUUUGUCUUGAUUGCCUGUAUUUCAUUAUCAUCUACUCUUGGUGCUGUUCUAACCAGAAGCAGAACUUAGGACAAUAUAGAAGGAUAAAAUGUAGCAUACGUUGCUGAAGUGUUGACAGGUAUGUGCUCAAAGACGCAUGAUGUGUAUGUACAGAUAUACAGGUGUCUGUAUGCACACAGCACACAACAUCCUAAAGCCCUGAUCUCUGCUAUGGCUUCCUUAAUGUACAAGUAGGCUUGUAAGGUUUAGAUUUAUGUAAUUUAACAUGUACUUUAUGUACACCCAAAUUAUAUUUAUCUUUAACUACUGAAAGCACAUUUCUUUGCAACUGUAUAGUCACUUUUCUUUUUUCUACUAUAGAAUACCUUGGUUAGCCGGUCUAAAAGCCUUUUAGGUGAAAUCCUGGUUUGUGGGAAAUUACACUGAAGUCCUAGUAAGCAGGCAAACAGCAAUUAAAAAUAAGUGGAUGCAAACAACAAAAAUAGCAAAUGUAACCAAAGGACAAACCAGAGAUACUGCAAUCUAUUCUUUUUAUCUCAUUCUGUUGUGACAUGCUGGAUUUGCUGUAGCCUUUCCUUGAUGGUUUCUAUGGCUCUCAUUAAUUACAAUUUGUGCUUAUAAUUUGGUAUUGGAAAAUGCCUGAUUAAUUUUGGCUUUUGUUUCCCUGUUACCUCCUUGUCUUUUCCCCUUUCACUAGGAAGUGCUGAAUUGUUUACCUAGAAAAAGAUAAAUUGAUGCUUGUGAUUGUGGUACAAAACAUCCCAUUAAAUAUUACUUGCAAUCAUAGUUUAUUUUCUUUUAAUUGUUAGAGUUGAAUACAACUCAACUGAAGUUGAAUGGAGGCUUCCGUAAUGCUGAGCCAACAACAUGGCAUCCGUUAAGGACUGAUUAGUGGCAGUAGUACAGGAGCAGAAGUCAUACUAAGACAAAAUCUUCUUAGACAAAGCACAGAGUGGAAAUCCCCAGCUGGAACUGAACUGGUGCUGCUGAUGUCACCUUAACAACAAAGUCAGUGCCACGGCAGCCUCACCUGAAAUAAAGUAGCAGCAGGAGCAAUGACCUGCAAUCCUAGGAAUUUCCCAUGAAGAAGCCACUAUCUGCAAUAUGGGUUUAGCAGAUCUAAGGUCUUGCCAGUGAAGACAAGUUACAAAAGGAACUUGCUAGCAGUGACUCAUGCAUUUGUGGAUACAUUUCAUCAAUGACUAGCGUGAUUCCAGCUAAACUGCAGAGCCAGCUGCAAUGCAAUCCAGCAGCACAAGAAACAUAACUAGACUGGAGAAAUGCAACCAGCUGCUGGGACCUACAAUAAAGCUGUUCUGAGAUCAGCAGACAAAUGCUUUGUAUUGAUAAUAACUUGUGAAAAUAAAUAGAUAUUAUCGCCUGCAGUUUAUAGUUGUUGACAUACACAUCUGUUGUCUCUGACUGAGCAAACAAUAAAUGUAGUUGCAGCACAACUUUAGAAAAGUCUUACCCUGAAACCAGAAAGAGCAGCUAUUGGGAAUUCCUUCCAGCAUUUGAGAAGAGGAAAGGAGGAAGAAAGGGAGAAAAAUAACUGGAAGGAAAGCCUCAAUUUAGAAGAGAUCUAAGUGUUCAGUAAGAAAAAAUAUAAUAUGCUGAGUCAACAGUGAAUAUAUCUGAGAGGUUAAUGAUGAGCAUAGAGCAGACAUGAGGGAAUCCUCUUAUCACAGUAUGGGAACUCUGGAAGCAGAAGGAGACAUUAGGACAAAAACUGUGAUUGUGAGGGAGCCAAAUAUGAUGCUCACGCUGCACAGUCUGCUGAGUGGUAGCAGACACGAAACCCAUGUAAGUGUGACCAGAGAGAACUUGGAAAGGUUUUCUACAAUAAGAGAACUUUUAAUAAAGAUCACACAAACAAUGAGCAGAAGAGAACCAACAGGACAACAUGGAACAGGAUAGAGGUACUGAUUAUAGUAAAAACACGUGCUGAAUCACUAAUGGAAACAAGGAGGAAGAAGCUGAUUUGAAGAGCAUCAUCCUGAUAUGCAAUCCAGUGUUACUGUGGGGAUUAUUUUAUGGCAAACUGUGUACUUCUAAUCUGUGGGGUUUUUUUGUUUGUUUGUUUGUUUGUUUUUUUAAAGUUAGCACUUAAACAAAAUUCUGAACAGUGUAAUUUCUCAAAAUGAAUCGAACCUGGGAGGGCUGAGCACAUGUGUUAGGGAAGAGUUUGCAUUACACCAUUGGCCAGUUGGCACCUGAAUGGAACCAGCAUAGGGUGGCAGAACCUCUAGAAGCUGCUCUCUCCAUAUAAAUAGCCAGCUAGGUUUGCAAACAAGGAAUCCUCUUAUGACAUAGCAUAAAGUAGAGAAAACAUUGACUUUCCUCCAAAUUUCACUUUUGGGCAAGUAAUUCAGACGAAAACACAUCUUUAAUAUCAAAUAUAUUGUUAGUGCUGCGGACUGUGGAGAAGCUGGAACACUGGGCUAGAAAUGAAAUGUGAACCAGGCACAGGAAAGUAAUGUCACUUGCAAUUAAAAUUAUUAUAUCUGGCCUUGUGAAGUUCCUAUAGUGCUUCAGAGCUAACAAUAAAAUUUAGAUUUUAUGCAAAAGAGAAACCAAGGAGUUAAUAAUUAUGUAGAAAGCUGUACACAUCAGAGUCCUGACAGCUUAAUUGCUAUGCUGACAGCGUUUGCUGUUUCAGUGCUCUAAUGCUGUUUUCAUCUGUAAAGACUGUACUGAGUUACAGCAAUGUCUGGGAUGCAGACACACCUCAUUAAUGCACCUGCUGACAGAGAGAACGUGUGGGUGGCUCUCAGGCAAUGAGAAGCAGGUUAAAGCACCUGUCAGACAGUCUGGGCAUCCCCCUGGGUGAGAAGGGAUCAAGCCCACAUUUUUAGGUGUUAGUGAAAAGAUAACAGAAUAAAUGGUAGUUUUAUCCAAUGCUUAUUUUGCAGUUCACCGAGAACAUCAGAUGAGCUAAUAGCAUACUAGUCCUUUCUUGUAGGCAUAAUGUGAAAUUUGAGCUAAUUUCAUUGGUAGUCUAUGGCACAAGAUACACUAUUGAAAUAUGAUACCAUCUAACAACAGCCACUUCCCGCCAUUCAAAGGGAUGUUCCUUCUGUGCUGUGUGAACGGGCUGUGGAUGUUAAGAUUUGCAUUUUCCUCUCUCUGGUUUUGGUGGCUUUUUGUCAGCGUUCAGUGUGAAACAGAUGAGUAAAAGCAGUGAGUAGGAAAUAAAGCAAGUGUGAAGUUGGGGUAUUUUUAGUAACUUGCUUGUAAAACCUCUCGCACUUUUUUUAAGAAUGCAAAAAUGCUUUUCAGUAAGUUUAGUUGCAAGUAAGAAAUGCUUUUAGGGUAUCCCUAAGCUCUCAGGCUCUAUCUAGUUUACCACAUUCUUCAGAUUGGCAGCCAAAUAGAAAUAACAGUCCCUACUGAGUUUUCAGUCAUUAGCUUUCAUUUGCACAAUGAGAGCUGGUUGCUCUUCAUAUCAUUUUUACAGAAUCAUAUCUGAGUGAGUGUCCACUGUGUUUGCUGGGGAGCGCUAUUGCUUGACUUUGAAACCUAGCAGGUCUAUCUUCAGAUCAGGGUUUCCUAGCGUGGUAAGUUCUGGACAGGACUUUGUACUCCAAGCUGUUAGAGCAGAGCAUGUUGAAACAGAGAUGCCUGUAUCGCACAAGCCACUGGCAACUGCAGACUCAAUGUGCCAUUUUUUCUCUCAGCUUCUACGCAAGAGAAUGGGCUGAAUGUGUAAUAGGGACAGGACAUACUGUCUCCAUAGGUCAGCAACUGGAUAUGACUGGAAGAUGCCAUGUUAUCAAAGUUGAAAUUUCCCACGUAUGAUGUUAACAAAUGAAAGUGUCCUUGUGUUACUCUGAGUGAGCCUGGUUAGAUUAUAACUGCUGAUUAUGCUUUACAACACAGACCAUGUGUGUACCUAGGAGUAAUAGGUCGUGCUGCUCACAUGUUAAACCCACAAAACACGUGUUUUAUUUCAUCAUUGUGUUCAUAUUUUGAAUUAAAGUAUUGUUUGAAUAAAGGAUGGAAAAGGCA
ensembl:lncRNA